rnacentral:rRNA from 1 species
UACGGGGGGGGCAAGCGUUGUUCGGAAUUACUGGGCGUAAAGGGCGCGUAGGCGGUUCGAUAAGUCAGCUGUGAAAACCAUGGGCUUAACUCAUGGCCUGCAGUUGAGACUGUCGGGCUGGAGUGUGGGAGAGGAGAGUGGAAUUCCUGGUGUAGCGGUGAAAUGCGUAGAUAUCAGGAGGAACACCUGCGGUGUAGACGGCUUUCUGGACCAUUGUUGACGCUGAGACACGAAAGCGUGGGUAGCAAACAGG